rnacentral:lncRNA from 1 species
AGUUUCCAGGAUUUCCCUAGGACAGAGCUGAGGCUGUGACUCAGUAGUGUUCAUUGAGCAUGCAUGGACGGAGCCACGGCUAGAUCCCCAGCGUCAAAUUAUCUGGCCAUGACGGUAUUUGCCUGUAGUUCUUGUAUUUUUGUAGAGGCAGGAGGAAUGGAAGUUCAAGGUUGUGUUUGGCUACGUGAAAACCCUGUUUCAAAAAAAUAUCCUUAGGAGUUCAAAGUCCGAGUUGUCAGAUAAGCAUCUCAUCAGUGGCCACAUAUAUAACAGCAUGUGUGUUUCCAAGGACUCCCACUGGAGGGGCUGGGACUGUUAGUGUCAUUGUCCACACUUGGGAGGAAUGUGGGAAAACAGGCCUGUGCUGCUGCUUGCAUCUGGGGCUGGGUUUUACUGAAGGUCUGAUUACCCUUAAUUUGUUGUUCUUUUGAGACAGGGUUUCUCUGUGUAGUGUCAGCUGACCUGGAACUUGCUCUGUAGGCUGCCCUUGAAUUCACAGAAAUCUACCUGUCUCUGCCUCCUGAGUGUUGGGAUUAAAGGUGUGUACCACUACCACCUGGCUCCAUAUUCACUUUAAAAACCUGUAAAAAUAAACGUGUUUAUGAAGAAC